AGUGAACGCUGGCGGUAGGCCUAACACAUGCAAGUCGAACGGCAGCACAGUAAGAGCUUGCUCUUACGGGUGGCGAGUGGCGGACGGGUGAGGAAUACAUCGGAAUCUACUUUUUCGUGGGGGAUAACGUAGGGACACUUACGCUAAUACCGCAUACGACCUACGGGUGAAAGCAGGGGUUCUUCGGACCUUGCGCGAUUGAAUGAGCCGAUGUCGGAUUAGCUAGUUGGCGGGGUAAAGGCCCACCAAGGCGACGAUCCGUAGCUGGUCUGAGAGGAUGAUCAGCCACACUGGAGCUGAGACACGGUCCAGACUCCUACGGGAGGCAGCAGUGGGGAAUAUUGGACAAUGGGCGCAAGCCUGAUCCAGCCAUACCGCGUGGGUGAAGAAGGCCUUCGGGUUGUAAAGCCCUUUUGUUGGGAAAGAAAAGCAGCAGGUUAAUACCCGGCUGUUCUGACGGUACCCAAAGAAUAAGCACCGGCUAACUUCGUG
rnacentral:rRNA from 1 species